CGGGCAGUCGUCACAGGCGCGGCUUGAUGCAGGCGACCCUGACAAGUUCCGUCGCUCCCCAGCCCAGCGGAUGCGUCUGUGACCUUCAGCUGGAGGCUAAUUGAAUGGGACCCAAGAGACAUGUAUCUCCUCCCGGGAACAUGUCAAAAUCCUAUGCCCAGAGAAGGUCAGAUAGAGUUCGCGGAAAUGCUCAGUGGACACCCCAGAAUUGGAUUGAAGUCAACCAAACUGAUACUUCUAAUGGAACAACAGAAAAGCCACUGGAGAGAAGAGGCUAUUCAGCUUCAUGAGGCCCAUCAGAUACUCUACCACUGGCAGAGGGAAGAAGGACAAAAUCCCUUUUAAACUCCUCAGGGCAGGGAGCUAAUUAACCUUCACCUGUAUGUCCUCUGGAGGAGUGAAAAAAACAGCAGCUCGCAAAACCCCCCCGGCACCCUGAACAUGCACACUCCACACAAACAGCUGCUCCACCUCAGAAGUGAACCCAGGACUAAGGAGCUGUGAUAGUCAUAGUCAACAUCAGGCCAUCAGGUUACCUCAGGGCUUGCCUCAAAUUUCUGCUUUCGUUUCGCAUGAAAAUAGAAGGGUACACGAAUUGUAAGGUUUGGUGUUAUCUUAGGUAGUAAGAGUUUUGUGAUCGCUACAAAUUUAGCUCCAUACCUUGGUACAUAUAUGUGUAUAUAGCAAUUAGUACACAACGUAUGUAUAAGGGUAUAUCAAAAGCAAAUUAUUUCAUCACUAUCAAUUCCCUACAUUUUUACUUACAAUGGGUUAUGUGUUAAACUAUACAAUUCCAUAUCUAAAAUCACACCACUCUUUGGAAAGAGAUUCAUUAAUAAAAAUUCAUUAAAUUCAAAAAGGACAAUUUUACAGAUUCAAAAGGCAUAAAGAAACAGCACUUACCUCUCUUUGUACAUACGUUAGGAGAUUCUUCAUCAGUGUGGUCUGGUCUCAGACCUGAUACCUGUUUUGUAGAAUGUGUGAAAUCAAAUGAAGUUGAUUUUAACAGCCUUUAAUUUUUUUUACCACUGGCAACUAGAAAUAAGGUUGGGAUAUACUUUCUUAUGCAUCAUGCUAUGUUCUACAAUAUAGUCACCUUUCUAUAGUAACCAGCCAUCACGAUUUAGCUGUUGAUUCCUCAUUAAGAUCACAGUAGCAUCCCUGAAGAACAGGGUGCAAGGCAGGACUAUGGACAGGACAGAGUGAGUGCCUACGCACACACAGGGGGAGUUUAGAAACAUCCAUCGGCCCAAACCCGAAUGCCUUUGGGAGACAGUGGAGGUAGGGGAGCAUGCAAACAAAACAAUGCACCCCAGGCAUGUACAAACCCAGAAUCUAGAACUGUCAGACAGGAGCGCUGACAUCUAAGCCCCCACCCGUGGGAUCUGUCACUCAGCAAAACCCGUAGAUGUGUGUAUUUUACCUGUAUAUGUAACUGUAAAGCUAUAUAUAACUGUAUAUGUACCUGCAUUGACAGUAUAUCUACUGUAUAUAGAACUGUAACUUUUAUUUUGUAAUUUAAGCUAAAUACAUAUAACUGUAUAUGUACAUGUAGAAAUAACCAUAUUUGUCUGUAGAGAACCAGAGGCUGAUGACAAAGAACUGGGUAGAGAUAUACCUUGUUACAGGCUGGUUCAACAUAGUGCUCUCAGUUAUUCGUCUUUCUGAAGUGCAGGGAGAAAAUCUGACAUUUUUUAUUAGAAGGAAUUUCAAGCUUCAUAUUUGGAGAUGUCAUGGCAGUUGAGGACUAAUCUCCCUACGGCUUGAAAUAUGUUAAUUACAUUGUAUUACCCAUGAAGAGCUGCUGGACGUUGAAUAAUUUACUGGAAUUUAUUAUUCAAUCAAACUGAACCAGAAUAAGAAGAUAAUGUGCUGUUUUUUAAAAGACACUUCUAAAACCAUUUGUGUUUCACUGUAGACAGGAACUGGUUAGGGGCUACAAUGUUUUCUUAAUAGGGAUAAAAUAAACAU